rnacentral:rRNA from 1 species
UACGUAGGGGGCUAGCGUUAUCCGGAUUUACUGGGCGUAAAGGGUGCGUAGGCGGUCUUUCAAGUCAGGAGUGAAAGGCUACGGCUCAACCGUAGUAAGCUUUUGAAACUGUAAGACUUGAGUGCAGGAGAGGAGAGUGGAAUUCCUAGUGUAGCGGUGAAAUGCGUAGAUAUUGGGAAGAACACCGGUGGCGAAGGCGGCUUUCUGGACAGUAACUGACACUGAGGCACGAAAGCGUGGGGAGCAAACAGGAUUAGAUACCCUGGUAGUCCCUGAG